rnacentral:rRNA from 1 species
CUAGCUGGUCUGAGAGGAUGACCAGCCACACUGGAACUGAGACACGGUCCAGACUCCUACGGGAGGCAGCAGUGGGGAAUAUUGCACAAUGGGCGCAAGCCUGAUGCAGCCAUGCCGCGUGUGUGAAGAAGGCCUUCGGGUUGCAAAGCACUUUCAGCGAUGAGGAAGGCGUUAAGGUUAAUAACCUUAGCGAUUGACGUUACUCGCAGAAGAA